CAUCUCUGACCUCACUCUCCAGUCCAUCCAGCUCCUGAGCUUUCUCCACCAGAAUGUGCUGAUUUUCCACAAACGAUCUCUCCAGCUCUGGAAGAGUUAAAGAGGAAGAAAAGUGAGGAACCAUAGGUUGAAAUCAGCAUAGAUAGCAGGGCUUUCGAAGGCCUUUGUCUUGGACAAAGAGGGGCCUUGGAGUCAAAAAGGUUGAGAAACUUGGUUUUGUAUCCACUGUUGGACAUUGAGUCUCUCUGCAGUGUGUGCGCUCUCUGCCGUCUGGAUCAGAAUAUCAUCCACCUGGGUCAGUCUGGCCAAAUGUUGGUGGAUCUCUGUGGUCACGUUCUUUAGUGCACCGGGCGAGACGGGCAAACUCAGUUUCAUCACCUCAUCAGCUACUUCCUCUAUACGCUUCAGCAUGCAGGACCUCUUGGUCUGAGUUUUUGGCUUCGUUCAAGGCAUUUUGGGAUCGUGUCACAAUGGUCUCACAUCCUUCCCCACCACACUGGGACGUGCCAUCCUCGCUCACACAUCCCAGACCACCACAG